rnacentral:rRNA from 1 species
CCUACGGGAGGCAGCAGUAGGGAAUCUUGCUCAAUGGGGGAAACCCUGACGCAGCAACGCCGCGUGGAGGAUGAAGGUUUUCGGAUUGUAAACUCCUUUUGUUAGAGAAGAUAAUGACGGUAUCUAACGAAUAAGCACCGGCUAACUCCGUGCCAGCAGCCGCGGUAAUACGGUGGGUGCAAGCGUUACUCGGAAUCACUGGGCGUAAAGAGAGCGUAGGCGGGAUAGUAAGUCAGAUGUGAAAUCCUAUGGCUUAACCAUAGAACUGCAUUUGAAACUGGUAUUCUAGAGUAUGGGAGAGGUAGGUGGAAUUCUUGGUGUAGGGGUAAAAUCCGUAGAGAUCAAGAGGAAUACUCAUUGCGAAGGCGACCUGCUAGAACAUAACGGACGCUGAUGCGCGAAAGCGUGGGGAGCAAACAGGAUUAGAUACCCUAGUAGUC